UUUUCAUUUUCUUUGUUGGCCGUGGGUGAGCUUCUUGGAGGAAAAGGAGGAGAUUUGAUUUUUUCCAAUUCUUGACCGAUCGUCGUUCUGUUCGUUGCUACGCGUAGGCCUUGAGGCGAUGGAGAGCCUUCCGCUGAAGCUUAGCUGUUCAAGUUGGAGACCGUGACCGUGGGCGGUCGAGUAGAGGUGGAUGAAGCAGUUGCUUCUCCCUUUUUGGUGGACUAUGUCUGAGUUUCUUUUUCCUUCUGAAAACUCUGUUGUUUAAACCUUAUAUUCGUCACUUGUCUAAGUGAGCGUACUUACUUUGGAAACUUGUUCAUGAUGAUGUAUGACACUAUUAUUAUUAUGUCGGGAAUGAGUUGUUGAAUAAAGUCUAUGUUAUAUAUUCAA